rnacentral:rRNA from 1 species
GCGCACGCUGGCGGCAGGCCUAACACAUGCAAGUCGAACGCACCUUUCGGGGUUAGUGGCGGACGGGUGAGUAACACGUGGGAACGUGCCUUUAGGUUCGGAAUAACUCAGGGAAACUUGUGCUAAUACCGAAUGUGCCCUUCGGGGGAAAGAUUAAUCGCCUUUAGAGCGGCCCGCGUCUGAUUAGCUAGUUGGUUGAGGUAAUGGCUCACCAAGGCGACGAUCAGUAGCUGGUCUGAGAGGAUGAUCAGCCACAUUGGGACUGAGACACGGCCCAAACUCCUACGGGAGGCAGCAGUGGGGAAUCUUGCGCAAUGGGCGAAAGCCUGACGCAGCCAUGCCGCGUGAAUGAUGAAGGUCUUAGGAUUGUAAAAUUCUUUCACCGGGGACGAUAAUGACGGUACCCGGAGAAGAAGCCCCGGCUAACUUCGUG